rnacentral:lncRNA from 1 species
AGGAUCAUCAAAAUGAGAUUCGUCAAGAUGAUCAAAAUCAUCAGGAAUAUCCAUAUCUUGACGAGAUUCAGAAUCUGACGAAUCGAUUUCAUCAAAUAUCGAACCCCUUAAGGUAUCAUCGCCUGUGUCUUUAGUGUCUUUAGAAUCCUUAUUAGUGUCCUUAUUGAGUUCUUCAUUUGUUAUUUUGUUGUGUUGUUGCUUAUGGCUGUGUGGUGUUAUCAUCUCCUUCAAAUUAAGACUAAAAGUUUUGUUCAAGCUCUUAGAUUCUUUAUGCUCCCUAUGAUCCAUUGAGAAAUUGCUAUGUGUUCUUGCUCUUCUUCCUGUUUCCCUAAAAUUACUAUUAUUAUUAUCCUCUUUUCCACUUUCCUUACCAGAAAGUUUAUCAAUAUCCUCAUUUUUCAAAUCCUUUAUUGAUGAUUCAGAGAGCAUGCGUUUCAACUCUUUGAUAUUCUCAAACGAUGCAACUUCAUGGAUUUUCAGCAUCUCGUUCUCAUGAACAAGUAAGUUAAUACUAUCUUGUAAUCUAGCAUUUUCAGCCUUUGCAAUCUCUGCACCUUCUUUUGCAACAUUAGCUUCAUUCAAUGCUUGUUUAAGAAUAUCGCGCAACUUUUGAUUUUCUUCCUUUGAAACUUUCACCUUAUUUUCUACCUCUUUUAGAGCCUCAAGUGCCUCUGUGGAUUCAUGUUUUGCAUGUAGCCUUUCCUCUUCAGCUCUUUUGAUGCAAUUCACAAGCUCAAUUUCUU